GAUCAUGGCGGCUGUGCGUCGGAGACUUUCGGGUCUGCCGGGUUUUCCUGUACCCCCCGGUUCGCUAACCUUCGUACAGCCGCCACCCUU
rnacentral:antisense_RNA from 1 species